rnacentral:rRNA from 1 species
AUUGAACGCUGGCGGCAUGCUUUACACAUGCAAGUCGAACGGCAGCACGGGCUUCGGCCUGGUGGCGAGUGGCGAACGGGUGAGUAAUAUAUCGGAACGUACCCAGCAGUGUGGGAUAACGUAGCGACAGUUACGCUAAUACCGCAUACGAUCUAUGGAUGAAAGCAGGGGACCGCAAGGCCUUGUGCUCCUGGAGCGUCCGAUAUCUGAUUAGCUAGUUGGUGAGGUAAAGGCUCACCAAGGCGACGAUCAGUAGCUGGUCUGAGAGGACGACCAGCCACACUGGAACUGAGACACGGUCCAGACUCCUACGGGAGGCAGCAGUGGGGAAUUUUGGACAAUGGGCGCAAGCCUGAUCCAGCAAUGCCGCGUGAGUGAAGAAGGCCUUCGGGUUGUAAAGCUCUUUUGUCAGGGAAGAAACGGUAGAGGCUAAUAUCCUUUGCUAAUGACGGUACCUGAAGAAUAAGCACCGGCUAACUACGUG